AUGCUUUUAGACUACUGCUACAUAUAUAGGAAGAGGAAUGGAAAUUAUCCUGCAGCUCUUAUUAGAGGCAUUAUUAGAGAAAACACUUGUUUGAUGGAUCUGUUACAGAGAGCUGUAGAAUCUGGGAGAGUCAAUCAGCUGCCCUGGGGAGCCACUGAAGCUGCUUCACCAACAGUAGACAAGGACAGAAUGAAUGAACACCUGAAGUGCUCACCUCAGGCUGUGUGUGGAGGGGAGGCGGCUGCAGAGGGUGGUUGGUACCAGGCAGGAUCUGGAAUGCACUCUGGAGCAUCAUUCCCACCCAAAAACCUGCAGAGGGAGCAGAGAAUGACGAGGUCUCUGAUUUAGGCAGGUCAGAGAGAUGCCCGAAGCUGGAGGAAGUGCAAAGUCUGCUUGACUGAGGUCUUCCUUUUCACCUCAAGAAAAAAGAACAAUAUAGCAAUGGAUGAAAUAUGCUCAGAGAAGACAAAUUAAAACUGAACAAUUGGAGUGGAAGAGAAACACAUGUCUAAAGAGAAAAUGCAAUAGAAAUGCUCUCAGAGAAAAUAUUAAACUGAAGUUCUGAAACAUCUAUAUGUUGAUUGAUCCUUGUAGGCCAAGUCAUGGUCCUUUAGCAGGAAUUUCUCAGUUCACUGUCAGAGACCAGGAUUGGGACCCACCACAGUGAUGAUGGAAGAGGAUCAUGGGCAAGUGGGAAUCUCCUGAAGUCUGGGGCGUUAGCUGCCUUAUUCUGAGUUUGUUUCACUUGCAUUUUCAUGCCAAGCAGAUAAUAAAUCUGGCAAGGGAAUACUUUCUAGGAAAAGA
rnacentral:lncRNA from 1 species